rnacentral:lncRNA from 1 species
AUCUGAGGUAUCAUAAUAAUCAUCCCAAUACUACUCUCUACUCCUGAGCUUGAGACAAUAUCUUAGGUGGAAGGAGUACUGUUGAGGUAAUGCCUCUAGCCAUACAUUAUGUGUGCCGGUGGUGAUCUUGUGCCUAUGGCAUCUAGAGUUCUUUCAACGGCAUUUUGAGAGUUUGAUUAGUUAUCCCUGCAAAGAUUUCCUCAAGGAUCUCCCUCUGCUUCUCAUGUGACUCGAGC